rnacentral:rRNA from 1 species
GUUAGUGGCGGACGGGUGAGUAACACGUGGGAACGUGCCUUUAGGUUCGGAAUAACUCAGGGAAACUUGUGCUAAUACCGAAUGUGCCCUUCGGGGGAAAGAUUUAUCGCCUUUAGAGCGGCCCGCGUCUGAUUAGCUAGUUGGUGAGGUAAAGGCUCACCAAGGCGACGAUCAGUAGCUGGUCUGAGAGGAUGAUCAGCCACAUUGGGACUGAGACACGGCCCAAACUCCUACGGGAGGCAGCAGUGGGGAAUCUUGCGCAAUGGGCGAAAGCCUGACGCAGCCAUGCCGCGUGAAUGAUGAAGGUCUUAGGAUUGUAAAAUUCUUUCACCGGGGACGAUAAUGACGGUACCCGGAGAAGAAGCCCCGGCUAACUUCGUGCCAGCAGCCGCGGUAAUACGAAGGGGGCUAGCGUUGCUCGGAAUUACUGGGCGUAAAGGGAGCGUAGGCGGACAUUUAAGUCAGGGGUGAAAUCCCGGGGCUCAACCUCGGAAUUGCCUUUGAUACUGGGUGUCUUGAGUAUGAGAGAGGUGUGUGGAACUCCGAGUGUAGAGGUGAAAUUCGUAGAUAUUCGGAAGAACACCAGUGGCGAAGGCGACACACUGGCUCAUUACUGACGCUGAGGCUCGAAAGCGUGGGGAGCAAACAGGA